rnacentral:rRNA from 1 species
AACGAACGCUGGCGGCAUGCCUAACACAUGCAAGUCGAACGAGACCUUCGGGUCUAGUGGCGCACGGGUGCGUAACGCGUGGGAACCUGCCCUUAGGUUCGGAAUAACUCCCCGAAAGGGGUGCUAAUACCGGAUAAUGUCUUCGGACCAAAGAUUUAUCGCCUUUGGAUGGGCCCGCGUUGGAUUAGCUAGUUGGUAGGGUAAAAGCCUACCAAGGCGACGAUCCAUAGCUGGUCUGAGAGGAUGAUCAGCCACACUGGGACUGAGACACGGCCCAGACUCCUACGGGAGGAAGCAGUGGGGAAUAUUGGACAAUGGGCGAAAGCCUGAGCCAGCAAUGCCGCGUGAGUGAUGAAGGCCUUAGGGUUGUAAAGCUCUUUUACCCGGGAUGAUAAUGACAGUACCGGGAGAAUAAGCUCCGGCUAACCCCGUG